rnacentral:rRNA from 1 species
UUCCGGUUGAUCCUGCCGGACCCCACUGCUAUCGGGGUGGGACUAAAACAUGCGAGUCGAGCGUCUUCAGGCUAUGGUGAAGGCGCGGCGAAUGGCUCAGUAACACGUGGCUAACCUACCCUUUGGACGGGGACAACCCCGGGAAACUGGGGCUAAUACCUGAUAGGUGAGGAGGCCUGGAAUGGUUUCUCAUCCAAAAGGUGUUUAGACCAUGCUUCUAGACGCCGCCAAAGGAUGGGGCCGCGGCCGAUCAGGUUGCUGGUGAGGUAACGGCUCACCAAGCCUAUAACCGGUACGGGCCGUGAGAGCGGGAGCCCGGAGAUGGGCACUGAGACAAGGGCCCAGGCCCUACGGGGCGCAGCAGUUGCGAAAACUCCGCAAUGCGCGAAAGCGUGACGGGGCUACCCCGAGUGCCGUCCGCCGAGGAUGGCUUUUCCACGGUGUAAGGAGCCGUGGGAAUAAGGAGAGGGCAAGCCUGGUGUCAGCCGCCGCGGUAAUACCAGCUCUCCGAGUGGUGGGGACGAUUAUUGGGCUUAAAGCGUUCGUAGCCGGCUCAGCAAGUCUUCCGUUAAAUCCAACGACCUAAUCGUUGGGCUGCGGGAGAUACUGUUGGGCUAGGGGGCGGGAGAAGCCGACGGUAUCCUCGGGGUAGGGGUGAAAUCCUAUAAUCCCGGGAAGACCACCAGUGGCGAAGGCGGUCGGCUAGAACGCGCCCGACGGUGAGGGACGAAAGCUGGGGGAGCGAACCGGAUUAGAUACCCGGGUAGUCCCAGCCGUAAACGAUGCGGGCUAGGUGUUGGGGCGGUCACGAACCGCCUCAGUGCCGCACGGAAGCAAUUAAGCCCGCCGCCUGGGGAGUACGGUCGCAAGGCUGAACUUAAGGAAUUGGCGGGGGGAGCACACAGCGUGAGCUGCGUUUAUGGAAUCACGCG